AUUGAACGCUGGCGGCAGGCCUAACACAUGCAAGUCGAACGAGUGGCGGAGGGGUGAGUAAUGUCUGGGAAACUGCCUGAUGGAGGGGGAGAACUACUGGAAACGGUAGCUAAUACCGCAUACCAUCGGAUGUGCCCAGAUGGGAUUAGCUUGUAGGUGAGGUAACGGCUAACCCAGGCGACGAUCCCUAGCUGGCCUGAGAGGAUGACCAGCCACACUGGAACGGUGACACGGUCCAGACUCCUACGGGAGGCAGCAGUGGGGCAUAUUGCACAAUGGGCGCAAGCCUGAUGCCGCCAUGCCGCGUGUAUGAAGAAGGCCUUCGGGUUGUCAAGUACUUUCAGCGUGGAGGCGUUACCCGCAGAAGAAGCACCGGCUAACUCCGUGCCAGCCGCCGCGGUAAUUC
rnacentral:rRNA from 1 species